rnacentral:rRNA from 1 species
UACGGAGGGUGCAAGCGUUAUCCGGAUUCACUGGGUUUAAAGGGUGCGUAGGCGGCUAGGUAAGUCCGUGGUGAAAUCCUGCAGCUUAACUGCAGAACUGCCGUGGAUACUAUCUAUCUUGAAUGUCGUGGAGGUUAGCGGAAUAUGUCAUGUAGCGGUGAAAUGCGUAGAUAUGACAUAGAACACCCAUUGCGAAGGCAGCUAACUACGCGAUAAUUGACGCUGAUGCACGAAAGCGUGGGGAGCAAACAGG